rnacentral:rRNA from 1 species
AACGAACGCUGGCGGCAGGCCUCAAACAUGCAAGUCUAGGGGGUGUAGCAAUACAUCACCGGCGGACGGGUGCGUAACGCGUGGGAAUAUACCUAUCGAUUCGGAACAACUGAGGGAAACUUCAGCUAAUACCGAAUACGUCCUAACGGAGAAAGAUUUAUCGUCGAUAGAUUAGCCCGCGUUCGAUUAGCUAGUUGGUGGGGUAACGGCCCACCAAGGCGACGAUCGAUAGCUGUUCUGAGAGGAAGAUCAGCCACACUGGGACUGAGACACGGCCCAGACUCCUACGGGAGGCAGCAGUUGGGAAUCUUGGACAAUGGGGGGAAACCCUGAUCCAGCAAUGCCGCGUGAGUGAUGAAGGCCCUAGGGUUGUAAAGCUCUUUUACCAGGGAUGAUAAUGACAGUACCUGGAGAAUAAGCUCCGGCUAACUCCGUGCCAGCAGCCGCGGUAAU